UCAAGACCAUCUGGAGAUUCCUAGGCGCAGACCCCACGCUGACCAGGGAGGUACUGCACAUCCUGCUGGAUGACAGCCCGGAGAAGGGCCAGGCUAAUGCUAGCCAGACCCGGACAGGAGCUGCCCCCAGCCAGCCUGGCUGCUCCCGGCGACCACAUGCAGCCUGUGGGAGCUGAUCGGGGCCCCGGGGCAAGCGGACACACUGGACGGACGCGAGGACAACCUGUUCGCCUCUUGCUUCCUCGCCAUCGCCUGCCCCCGGCACAGCACCUCUCGGGAGUCCAGCAGGACCUGCCCAGUGACACCAGUCCGUGCAGCAUGGCCGUGCAGGCCCUGGCGUGGGUGCUGCGCCUCAGGGGCAGUCAGCCAGCUGUGGAGCUAAUGGACCAGGAGCGAGGCUGGCAGCUGCUAGAGGAAGCCCAGCCUGAGAGGUUUGCUCUCCUUAGCAGGGCCAUAGUGACCCACCCAAACCGGGUCCUGAAGAGCAUCCCAUGGCUCCUCCUUCCCAGCCUCCAGGCCAGCCAGGAAGGCGAACACAUGGCCUGCACUGUCCUGUUCGCAGAGUUCCUCGGCAGCCCCCUGCUGAUGGAGAAUGAUCCCAAGGCCAUGUGGAAGCAGAUUGUGAAGGCCAUGCUGCAGCAGACAGAGGACAGCAACAUCCACAUUCGAGGCAGAGCGCUGCACGGCCUCAGGAACGCAGUGACCGAGUUCCCAGACAAGGUCAGGAAGAAGCGAGACCAGAUCCUGGGAAGCUUUGUCCACGCUGUGUGCAAAUCCUGUGACCCCCGCGUCAUUCUGGACACCAUGGAAGGGCUCUGCUGGAUGCUGCGGGACCCCAAGGCGCCUCUGAAGGUGCACGUUGCUGUCCCACUGGACCUGUAGGAGAACAGCGGCCUGAGGCGGGCCUCCAUGGAGCUCUUUGGCCACCUCAGCAAAUUUGUUUCCAAUAAGUCAUCCCUGUUUAGGGCUGAGGUGGAGAAGAGCAUGGGGAUGCUGCUCAUCCACCUACAGGACGGAGACCCCCAGGUGGUCCAGGCAUGCAGGUGGCAUUGCUGCGCUGCGCACCCUUCCUCGGCUACCAGCCCCUACGCCCGCUCGUGCAGAGCCAGCUGGCCAAGGGGGCGGGCCCACCAUCCCCACCUUCCUGAGCGAAGCCUGCAGGACCCUGCUCCAGGACUGCCCGGGGAGGCUGAGCGAGAAGGCUGCCCUGAGAGCAGCAGCUGCCCAGCAGCUGAUAGGAUACAUGAUGGACAAUUGAAGCCAGAGAAGAGCAGGAGGCUUGGACCGCCCACCCUGCUAGGCUGUUGGAGAGAGAUCUGUCCCAGACCAGUUCUCUUCUAGUAAUAGAGGUACCGUUGGGGCUUGAGUUAGCAGCAGAAGCGAUCCUGGACCAAGCUGAUAAUUUACAAAGAGGGAUUUCAGCUGCUGGGGACUACCCCAAGAGGAGAUUUGACCAAUCGGAGAGGAAUUCGGGGGCGGGAUGACCCAUCCGGAAGUGUUUUGUGUGACCCUUCUAAGAACUCCUCCCAUUGCCCUCUACCAAUCGCAAUGGGUUUUGGCUGCAUAGGACUUCCCCGAGCGCAGAUUUGACCAAAAUAGGGCAGGUUCUGGGACGGGGUGAACCGCCCAAAAGAGGUUGUGUGACUCCUCUAAGAACUCCUCCCAGCGCCCUCUGCCAAUCAGAGCGCAGUGCCAUCACCCUGUAAGUCCCAGGGCAGAAGAGGCCAUCUUUUACCAAGAAUGCAUGUUUUAGAAAUUGUGGAAACAUGGACUCCUUCACCACCGUCAUGAGAACUUCAGACUUUGUUUUAGUCCCAAGCACCUUUGGACUUGUGUGGAGAAAGCGCUCCAUCAGCAACAGUUCCAACGAGGGCCCUUUGACUCAACCAUUGAUGGAUACGCAGGAACCCGACCAUGAAACCCAAACCCUCCUGAGGUACCAUGAUGAGUGUGACGGCCUCUCAUUGUCCACCCCCCUAGAGGUGGAAGGCGAUCAUGGAUUGGAGGAGUCACCGGCGGACAAGGUGAAUGGAAAAGACGUCACUCAGCAGCUCAACAUUGCCUUUCUACAGGCCUCCCUGUGGGAGGAAGUAUAUCGUGCAUCAGCUGUUUUUGCUCAUGUCUGAGACACAGAUCUCAAGAGGAAAAUCUGGAAAAGGACAAAAUGGAAGAAUGAACCAGCUCAGACUCCAUUUUUACAGGCAGCUGUAAAAGGUUGUGUUAAAC